rnacentral:lncRNA from 1 species
CUGGGAAGCUGAGGUAGGAGGACCACAAGCUUAGGCCCAGCCUGGGCAAUUUAGGGACUACACCUGGCACGAAUAUGACUUGUUUCCUAUUAGAUCAAUAUGAGCUAAGUAGCUAUACUUUAAUCAUACAGGUUGAUUACAGUUCGACCCAUGUCGUACCCACACUGUGACUUUGCUGUAUGCAUUUCCCAUGACAAAAGGCCUGAAUGGCCACCCACUGGAGAUCUCUCAAUAAGCCUCCUAUUUUUAACCUUCUCUGUUCUUUGAAAUUAUUUCUUCAAUUUCGGGGGACACAAACUCAGGAUAUCUGAUAUCUAACAGGUUGGCAGUUCUAUUUCUUCUACAUCACCUGCAACCUCUGCUGUUUCCCCUCGAGGCCAGGUCUUUCUCUGUAGACCAGGUGGGCCUGGAACUCGCAGUCUCCUUCCUCAGCCUCCCAAGUGGUGAGAUCAUAGGUGUGUGCCCCUGUGUCUGUAUCUCUACUACUUCCUCCACAAGCUUUCACAUCGGAAGGCGUCUCCCAGGUUAGCCCUGCUCUGCUCUCCACUCCCAGGCACGAGAAGUCCCCAUUACGUCCUCUCGGGACAUUAUUAGUGAGUUCUGCUACACUUACACCCCGUCCUCUACUAGUCUCUUGAGUGUUAGCUCUUCAAAGGACCUCUAAAUUCCCUGGGACAUAGACUGUCUUAGGUGUCACAAUGAAAAGAAGCCACGCCAUGAAAUUCAUGCUUCUGCCAACAAGAGAAAUAGUCUUUAUCCUGCAUGUCUGUGCACACAGUGAUUUGAACACACAGGAAUUAAUCCUGCAGUCUUCUGCCCUUUUCCUCUUUCCCAUCUUCCAUUCUACCCGGGUUCCAACACUGCCAUAGUAACCAACAGUCACAGAGCACACACGUGUUCUCUUCAUCGAGGAGACUCACAACUCAGAAGCAUUCCUCACAUUACCGGUUCACGACUGAAGACUUUCAGAGCUUAUCUAGCAGAGAUUCAACCCCAGACCGAUUUCUCACGUCUUUUCGUCAGGACCCAGGAUUGAGAGUUUCUCUUUCAGUUUUCUCCUCUCCCACUGGUGUAAACUUUUCUAACCCAACCGGCCUCUUCGUCCUUUCUGCAUAUUUCCUUCCCAUCGCGGACCUCUCCAGGUCAGUCCCUCUCUCAGGCGUGCCCACUGGACGCACUGGGCACAGGGCCGAACGUGGGACCCCAGCCCACCUCCCGGCCCUCCCCGCUCCUCCGUAGCGCUAGCCAGCACCCGGCGUGGUCCCCACCGUCCCAUCCUCCUCCAAGGCCGGACGAGCACUGUUGGGCCAUUUCCUCAUCUCUGGCCACGUCGUGGUGAAAGCUGAAGAACACGCACGAAGCGACGGAGGGGUCAGUUCCUACUUCUCAUCCGAGGACCUAAGGCACAGAGCUGGGGACCUGGGAGUCACCUCUAGCUGGGUGUCCUUCCUGGGCGCCAGCUCGGCCGGGUUCCGCUAAGGAUGCGUUCACCUGGAUGAGCUGCAGACCCGACCGCCGCCCUCUGAUCGCAGAGACUAGAGAGCCGGG